GUAUUUGCCUGGCAGGGGAAAUACCAUGACCACCAAGGUGGUUUUCCUUCUGGCUGAAGAAAAGCACAAAUGUGGCGGGGGUAAUGCAUAGUUAGCCUCCCACUUUUACUUCCAGUGGGAAGAUCUCAGCUAUAUGCCGACUUUAUGGAAAUGGUAGACUGCUCCCUAGCUUGCUCCUG
rnacentral:snRNA from 1 species